UACGGAGGGAGCUAGCGUUGUUCGGAAUUACUGGGCGUAAAGCGCACGUAGGCGGCUUUGUAAGUUAGGGGUGAAAGCCUGGAGCUCAACUUCAGAAUUGCCCUUAAGACUGCAUCGCUUGAAUCCAGGAGAGGUGAGUGGAAUUCCGAGUGUAGAGGUGAAAUUCGUAGAUAUUCGCAAGAACACCAGUGGCGAAGGCGGCUUGCCAGAAUGCGCUCGACGGUGAGGGAUGAAAGCUGGGGGAGCAAACCGG
rnacentral:rRNA from 1 species